CAGUGCAAACAGAUCUCAAUUAUCUCAGAAAUGAAGAUUUGCUUUAGUUCAAAGUCCAGAACGUGUGUUCUUUGAUCAAGGUCUGAGGAUGUGUGUGUGUGUGUGUGCGCGUGUGCGUGCGCGCGCAGGCAAUCACACAAGCCUGUACAUUUGUGCUGUUGAGAGAGAGAGGACCAGCAACAGCCUUGGCUUUCUGCUCUCCACCGCGGCCCUAGCUGAUACGGUAAUUUUAUGUAUUCGUGUUUUCUUGUCCGGCCUCAAAUGACAACAUAAGCUGAAUGGUGCCGCGGCAAGUGGUGAACAAGGGCUUAAUUACAGGGACCUUUGCCCAACUGACACGCUGAAAAUUGGCCCCAGGGAUGAUUCAGCAGUAAUCUCGCCACCGUUCCAGAGAAGCCCUCUCUGGGAUGACGUCAUGUCUCGCCCCACCCACCGCUCCUGCUUGCCUCUCCUCUCCAGAACCCCAGUCCCAUCUGUGGAGCUCAGAGCUGCCAUCUGCAUUGCGAAGAAUAUGCAUUUUAUUACUGAAAUAGCAUUCCUGCGCCCAACGGUGCCCCUUGAGCACUUCAUACUUAAUAGCUGCCAGAAAAGGAAGAAAUCCCAGCCCCAGGGGAUGACCAAGGGCAUAUCCCAAUCUCUGUCUGCUGCCUCCUGUAUCCGGAACUGGGUAUUUAUCUCUGCGCACCAUGAAUAUUUACACUUUGAGGGAAAGAGAUUGGCUUAACUUGAGCUUCGGGAUUCAAGGCCCAAGGCUAGCGUGGCUACGCAGAAAGCGUUGCAGGGUGCGGAGAGAAAGGGACUCGAGCCGUACCUGGCAUCUGCGCGCGGCCCACGCAGGCUUUGGGUUGCCUUUCCCCACUUCACCAGCCUCCCCUUUUCCAUGACCAAUAAAGCCAGACAGGUGUUUGUGAGAGGCGCCCUUACCUUCAUCUACUGGCUUUGGUUUGCCUUGCUACUUCUGGAGAGAGCCAUUUUAUUUCUGUCAUCUACUUUGCAGAGCUGUGGAAAAAGAGCUGGGGUGGGUAGCGCUGGCAGAAAGAGACCCUAAGAAUGGAUCUCAGCUUUGUUUUCUGUCUCUGAUCGCUGCUGUGAUGCAGGGUGUCCGGCAGCCAGUUUACAAAUGAGGGGAGAAAAUGAAAAAGAGGGUGAAGGUUUGUUUAGAUCGUCGACGCUGCCAAGGGGCCACAAACCAAAGCUAACAGAGCCGCCCCGUCUGCAGGCUUCCCGUCAUAGAAGUGAAUACAUUCUUUGCCAUGUAAACUCGGUGGAUCAAGGCUUUCUGUUACCUAAGUGCGGUAAACAUCAUCAUCGCCCGUGACAGGGACUCUUCAAGCCUUUGGACCGUGAAUCAAAAAGUAUGUUCAGUCUCGGUGCCGUGUAGGAUGUGUGUGCGAGGAAUGCAUCCUGCCGUGUUCUCUGCUCCGCCGCUGCAGUUUUAAGAAUUCAGGUCAUGACCCACUAAAGUGAUCGCAAUGCUCACGGAUGGGUCGUGACCCACAUUUCCGAGAACAUUAAGUCAUAGGGGAUGUAAGCUGCAGGAAUAACAUAGAAAGUGCAGCACAGUGUCAGAAAGACAGGGCCACGGAGUGUCAGCACAGGAAGGAGCUGUUGCCAUGAGCUGGAAGGCACACAUUUUUAUCAGGGGAAGAAGCAGAGAGCUGGGGAUUCAUAGAACGACAGGGACCAUGACAGAGUGGCAGAAAACACCAGUGCAGGUACGCCAGGCUCAAGGUUGAAGACGGUCGGAUUGGGGCAAGGUCAUGUGCGAGGCCACCAAUGAGGUCACUGGGAAAGGUUGGUUGCGGGACAUUUAAAAUGGCAGCAAGUGUGCAUUGGUCAGGCCUGCAUCUCGUUAGAUGGGGACACUGGAGGAGCUUCAGGCACAUCGUGGGUGGGGAGACCAGUGCCCCCCCAUCACCACUCUGCCUAUAGCCAUGCAAAGCCACCACUGGGGUCUCCACUGAGGAGUUGUCGAUACUGAACACAGAGCUUGGUUUUCAGAAAAUGUCCGAUCUUGAACUUCCUCCAGGUGAAACCCAGCAGGCAUGGUGGGCGGCCUUUCAAAGCAGAAAGGCCCCUAUGUCCCGGCCUUUUGUUCACUGCCUCCUAGAAAGUUCCUAUCAUUUGAGAUCCAGACUCCACAGGUAGGUAGGGCUGUGCUAUUUGACACCUCUCCAAAAAAAAACAAAAAACAAAAAAAACAAAGUCGAGGAGGAGGAAUUGAAAUCUCUGGUAAAAUCCGGGGUUUGCACUAUCUGUAGAUUUGAAUUACCCACAUCCUUCCUUCCCUGCUCUCUCCCUGGAGAGCAGAGGUUGACUCUCAAAUGGAGAUGAAUGGGCACUCGUCUGUAGCCGCUGGAAAUCCAGAGCGGCAUUCUCCUAGGAGUCCACUACCGCGGAUGUUGAGUACCGACUUCCUUCAAGUCCAUGGACACAUCAGCUUUCUAACCAGCGUUCUUUCCCCAUCUAUUAAGAUCUCUUAUCUUCUAGUCCUUCAGCCUCUGCUGUUGGUGAGGCGAGCUGCCGGGACGAUGCCAAGAGAUGUUUCUCAGCAGCCCAGAGGAAGCUACAGAUCCUCUGAAGUCUACCGUGAUUCCCUGCCAUGCUCACAGAAACCCACCUGUAUGUUAACUCCCGACGCUCAGGAAUGGUCUUCCAAUGAUGUCACCUCUCGUUCUCCUUUGGAAACCAGAUGUGAAGAACAACACAACACUUCUCCAUCUUCUCGUCCAGUCUUUCCUCAAUCAGUCUGAAGGCGGGACACCUGAGAAGAGCACACACUCUAAAGCCAUUGCUGCAACAAGACGGAUGAAUGAUAGAGGAAAUGGUUGCGGAGCUGCUCUGGGAGAAAGCCCUUGUCCUUCUGUGUGUUGCCUCUGGAGUUUUGAUUGAUAUUUGGGCUAUUAAAUAGAUACCUCACAGGCCUCUUCCUGUUCUGUGUGCUCUUGCCACAGUUUUAGAUGCAGUGAAAAGGGCCCCCAAGACUGUCUCCUGCCACUGGGUGGAGGAACACCCUCCACCAGCGCAACCCUGAGGACCGGGGCUUAUGGCUCAAGAAAAGAUUUAUCACCACUUUCCUUCCCAGCCACCACCACCUCCCCUCCCUGCCUGGGCAGGAAGCCACCUGCCAGAGCCACGGUCACUGCUGGGGUCACACUCUCCACGUGCGUGCCAUUUUGGGAUCUGACUCCCGUGCGAGGCCGCAGCUUCCUCCUCAGUGGUCUUUGAAAACGCUCUGUUUUCCCAGCUGUUCCGCAAGCCUUUGUUGGCGAAUGCAGCCUUGCACAUAGCUUUCCAAAAUUACCAGGGCUAAGACAUUCUUUCCACCCACGGCAUCCGUGCUGACCCCAGCACCAUUUGUCAGUGCAUCCCCCCCACACACACACACACCAGUGUGUCUCACUUUGGGUGCAUCUCCCUAGGCCCGUGAGUGGCUCUGGAAGGGGUCAGGGGGCACACCCGGGAUUGUUUGCUCCAUUCUGAAUUCCAUAUAAACAGACUCACGCAGCGCAGCGUGUCCUUUCUUUCUGAGAGCAGUGACCUUUGAUCAACACACUGCCCUCCAGAGUGCGGGAGGCACACCAACAGAAGCUUCCUUGCCAGUGGCUUUCCGAUGUACAAAUGAAAUGGAGACACUUGUGUGUGGCUGGUCUCUUCUUGAUGGCCUCGCCCGUUUCCAGGCUCUGACUACCGUCUCCAGGCCACUGCGGGCGUUCUUGCGGCAGGCGUCUUUCAGGUGUGCGCCGUCAUUUCUCUUCGGUGUCCACCAAGGAGGAACGCUGUUGUCAUGGCGGUGCAUGCCUAGCUUCACCAUGAACUGCCAGUCUUCCAAGGAGAAUACACACUCCAGUACGUGUUUACUCCUCACAACAGCCGUGAGAGUCUGUCAGUCAGCUCCUGGGUGCUUUCUGAGCAGCGAUUCUAGGCUGGGCCCAGUUUUAGGAAAGAAAUACAGCAAAGGCAAGACACAUAAGACUCCUUUUCUGGACACGCCUCCAUGGAGGAGAUGAGCAAAACCCCUGCAUAUGUGAAGAAGGCAGCCUCGGGGGGUCAACCGUGCUGUGAAAGC